UACAGAGGUCUCAAGCGUUGUUCGGAUUCAUUGGGCGUAAAGGGUGCGUAGGCGGCGCGGUAAGUCGGGUGUGAAAUCUCGGAGCUUAACUCCGAAACUGCAUUCGAUACUGCCGGUGCUUGAGGACUGGAGAGGAGACUGGAAUUUACGGUGUAGCGGUGAAAUGCGUAGAUAUCGUAAGGAAGACCAGUGGCGAAGGCGGGUCUCUGGA
rnacentral:rRNA from 1 species